CCCUUAGAUGUCCGGGGCUGCACGCGCGCUACACUGACUGGCUCAGCGUGUGCCUACCCUACGCCGGCAGGCGCGGGUAACCCGUUGAACCCCAUUCGUGAUGGGGAUCGGGGAUUGCAAUUAUUCCCCAUGAACGAGGAAUUCCCAGUAAGUGCGGGUCAUAAGCUUGCGUCGAUUAAGUCCCUGCCCUUUGUACACACCGCCCGUCGCUACUACCGAUUGGAUGGUCCGGUGAAGCCUCGGGAUUGUGGUUCUUGCCGCUUUAUUGUGGCGUGACCGCGAGAACUUGUCUAAACCUUAUCAUCUAGAGGAAGGUGAAGUCGUAACA
rnacentral:rRNA from 1 species